UGUGUGUGUGUGUGUGUUAGAAGAAUAUAUGUAUGUAAGAGAAGAAUAUAUGUGUGUGUGAGAAGAAUAUGUGUGUGUGUGAGAAGAAUAUAUGUGUGUGUGUGUGUGUGUGAGACAAAGUAUACAUGCAACGGAAGGACAAUAGUGGAAACGGAAGGCAGGCCAUGGUAACUUAACUGGAAAUUACUAAAUCCCGAAUGCUCGUUUGCUAAUUUGGCUACAGCCAAUGUGUAGGUUACAUGUUCGCAAAACCCGUAAAUGUCCGUAGUAAAAACAAUAAAGGCAAUUAAACAAUUUUGAAAUGACAGAAAACAGACAAAAAAAUGUAUGCUGGAUUUAUUUUUAUUUUUGACGCCAAUGUCCGUCGGAAAAACCAGAACGUGUGAAACACUUCGUGUCGGACUGUUUUCACAACCUCGGUCAGUACAACACUGGACUGACUGAAAGACUGUUCCUGAAAGAGGGAUUGUACCAACUGUCUGUGGAGAGACGGCAGAGGAAGUAACUGUGGAGCUGUCACUUGAGCAGCCAUACAUAAGGGAGACACAAUGCAACUGCAAAGCUGGCUUGGGACAGUGCAACCAUCUCACUGGGCUGCUCUAUACUCUGGCUCACUUUGUCAAGAUGGGCUACGCGUCUGUUCCCCCAAUGACUAGCAAGACGUCGUUGCCUCAAGCCUGGCACAUUCCAUCAAGGGCCCUGGGUGUCAGUCCAAGAACGGUGAGCUCUGUAAGUGUUUCGAAGCUGAAACCAGCAGUGACCAACGCACCCCCGCCAAAGAGGCAACGCUCUUCUGAAGUUGUCUGAUGUCGAAUCUGUACUGCCCUGUGUCACUGCCGCUUCCAUCAAAUGCCUUUGCAGAGAGUCUACACCGAAACCUGAGUGCAAUACAGAGCAAGAGUCAGAUGUUCAAGCUGCUGGAGGAGAACAGAAAGCGGUCUUUGGAGACCUUCCAAAGGGAUCUGUGCUUACCACACAGCACAGUCUACCAGGGCUGGUGAUGAUCCCCCGUUUCCUCUACCAUCACAGCCAUGCUCAUUCAGUACAGUUCUGGAUGACACUGAGGCGUGCUUCUAUGGUGGCCUGACGGUCACUCAGGCUGUUGCAAUACAGCUGGAGAUCGACACUAGGGGACAGAGCCAUAGUAAGACCUGGCAUAAAGUCCGAACCAACUGUCUUACCGCCUCUUCCUUCAAGAGGAUUUGUUCAAGGGUGGCAGACUUCAAGGUUUUAGCUGACAAUCUGAAAAAAAAGACAGUGCAGACAAAGGUGAUGAAGCGAGGCCUGGAGCUGGAGCCUGGAGCUGGAGCCUGUUGCUGCGGCCGACUAUCAAGACCUCACCGGUUUUGAGAUCUUCCCCUGUGGUUUUGUCAUCAACCACCACGCCCCACACCUAGGUGCCUCACCUGACCGAAAGGUGAUUGACCGCAGUGCCUCACUAACGCACGACCACACAUGAGUACUAUUUUCAAGUGAUGGGGCAGAUGGGCACCACUGGGUUGAAGUGGUGUGACUUUCUUGUGAAAUGCAAAGAUGACCAUCACUUGGAGCGGGUGCACUUCGAACCAAAGGAGUAGGAGAACAUGAAAUGUAAAUUGGACACAUUCUUUUUCACCCACUUUCUGCCUGCUGUGUGUAACAACAUGUAAUAUGUAAUACAUCACUGAAUGUAUAUAGUAGUUCUAUAGUUCUCUUUUGUUAAUGUUUUUUAAUUGUUUGUUCCUAAUGUAAUUUCUAAUGUUCUUUUCCGGUACGUUUUUCCUUACUUACAAUAUACAAGCAUUUGUAUUCCCCCAUACCAAUUUUUAUGUACAAUGUUACCUUUACAAACCUAGACCAGUGUGCCUGUCAAUGUUUUUGAAUGACCUCUUUCUGAUAUUCUGACCAGUUCUGGUUCCUGUAUACUAAGUUGUAAAGUUAUGAAGGACAUCAUCCAUGUGUAAUAAAAUUGUACUUUAUU